rnacentral:rRNA from 1 species
UCUUUGGAGAGUUUGAUCCUGGCUCAGGACGAACGCUGGCGGCGUGCCUAAUACAUGCAAGUCGAGCGGACCAAAUCGG